rnacentral:rRNA from 1 species
UACGUAGGGGGCGAGCGUUGUCCGGAGUUACUGGGCGUAAAGGGCCUGUAGGCGGUGCCUUCAGUUCCUGCUGACAGUCCUCAGCUUACCUGAGGAAGGUGUAGGAAGACGGGGGCACUUGAGGGCGGCAGAGGGAGACGGAAUUCCGGGUGGAGUGGUGAAAUGCGUAGAGAUCCGGAGGAACACCGAAGGCGUAGGCAGUCUCCUGGGCCGCAGCUGACGCUGAGGGGCGAAAGCCAGGGGAGCGAACGGG